rnacentral:rRNA from 1 species
UACGUAGGUGGCAAGCGUUGUCCGGAAUUAUUGGGCGUAAAGGGCGCGCAGGCGGUUUUUUAAGUCGGUCUUAAAAGUGCGGGGCUUAACCCCGUGAGGGGACCGAAACUGGAAGACUUGAGUGUCGGAGAGGAAAGCGGAAUUCCUAGUGUAGCGGUGAAAUGCGUAGAUAUUAGGAGGAACACCGGUGGCGAAAGCGGCUUUCUGGACGACAACUGACGCUGAGGCGCGAAAGCGUGGGGAGCAAACAGG